AGUGAACGCUGGCGGUAGGCCUAACACAUGCAAGUCGAACGGCAGCACAGUAAGAGCUUGCUCUUACGGGUGGCGGGUGGCGGACGGGUGAGGAGUACAUCGGAAUCUUCUUUUUCGUGGGGGGUAUCGGAGGGAAACUUACGCUAAUACAGCAUACGACCUACGGGUUAUAGCAGGGGUACAUCGUACUUUGCGUGUUAGAAUUAGCUGUUGUCGGAUUAGCUAGUUGGCGGGGUAAUGGCCCACCAAGGCGAGGAUCCGUAGCUGGUCUGAGAGGAUGAUCAGCCACACUGGAACUGAGACACGGUCCAGACUCCUACGGGAGGCAGCAGUGGGGAAUCUUGGACAAUGGGCGCAAGCCUGAUCCAGCCAUACCGCGUGGGUGAAGAAGGCCUUCGGGUUGUAAAGCCCUUUUGUUGGGAAAGAAAAGCAGCAGGUUAAUACCCCGCUGUUUUGACGGUACCCAAAGAAGAAGCACCGGCUAACUUCGUG
rnacentral:rRNA from 1 species